AUGGCAAAAUUCCGGUGGAGCAGUUCUAUUGACAAACGAUACUUGCAUUGGGUUUCAUGGAAGACACUAGCAACACCGAAGUGUAGAGGUGGAAUGGGAUUUUGUGAUCUUCACCUCUUUAACUUGGCACUUUUGGGUAAACAGGGAUGGCGUCUUAUCACUAAUCCUAAUACCUUAUGUGCCAGAGUAUUGAAGGGAAAAUACUACCCAGAAUCAGAUUUCAUGCAAGCGACUUCUCCAGGUUCCGCCUCGGCCACUUGGAGAGCUAUUAUUGCUGGAAGGGAAGCUUUGGUCACUGGUCUUAUAAAGCGUGUCGGUGAUGGAUCGACAAUAUCGAUCUGGAAUGAUCGCUGGAUCCCAUCAACUCAUACGAUGGCUCCUUUAUUUCAACCAUCUCAUACUAAUGUUUCCUUGGUGAGUGACCUGAUAGACACAACUAACUAG
rnacentral:rRNA from 1 species